rfam:Ictidomys tridecemlineatus contig035206, whole genome shotgun sequence.
GGAGGUGUGGCUCAGAGUUAGAGCAAUUGCCUAGCAUGCACAAGGCCCUGGGUUCAAUCCCCAGCACCAAUA